CAGCUCUUGUGACCGUGGAAGUCAGACGGGGGAGAGGCAUGAAGGCAGCGAUGGCAGAUAGGAACCGCUAAGAAAUUUUAAACAUCUCAUCCUGCCCGCCUCUAACCCACGAGGUUAUUCUGCAACUUCAUGUGGCCCUGGUACCUGGAGGAUGCACCUGUCACCCACCUGCCGUUCAAUGGACCAUAGGCCAAGGCUGUUUCCUCCUGAAUGCCCUCGGCCUGCUGGCAUGGUGGUCUUCCUAACUUCUUUUGGUCAGCCUCGUAUGUCAGUGCAGAAGAGGAUGUUUUGCUUUGUACUCUUGGAGUCUCUGUCAGAUUGGGUCAACUUGGGUCAGAGCUGAAAAGGGGUUUUGACAUUGAGCAGAGAUACAGUUCAGCUGAUGGUGGAUCUCUGCCCUCUGCCUUUUGUUCAGAGGAGCUGUGAUCCUUGAAUUUGGGGUCCCUGUUACACAGUGAGAUCCAAUAGCCUGCAUUUGCCACCAGUCCCAAGGUUCUGAGCACUUGGGACUUUUGUGUUCUAGCCAGAGAAAAAGCAGAGGAGUAGCA